GAGCUGGUGGGAGUGGAACGCACUGGCCGUUGUAGCCGUCGCCUUCUUCCUCCCCACAGUCCGAACAGCGCGGUGACUAGGCCGUCGGCCCUCGAGCCGAGACAUAUCUCUUAUUUAGUUCUCGGGAGCGCCUGGCCGACAUGAGUGAUGUAGAGGAGAACAACUUCGAGGGCAGAGUGAGUACAAAGCCGCGGGAGCCGUCUUCGGCGGCGGCCCGAUGCUCCGGGGCUCGGGGACGAGCGCGGUCGGUCGGGCGAGGUGGCGGGGCCCUCAGGAGCAGCCUUGAGGGCCACCGCGAGCGCGUCACGUCCCAAGAUGGCUUCGGGGUCCCCCUGCGUGCCCAGAUGCCCCACUAGCCCGCAGCGCUCCUUUCUGGCGGCUGACUGGUACCUGGCCUGGUCCUAUCCUCUCCUGUCGCUCCCUUUCCUCUCAGCUUCCCAUCUCUGCUCCGAGGUGCGGGUCCCCGGCGCGGUGGGGCAGGAGGCGGCGGGGCGCUCCCUCCGGCCGGAUAGUGGUAGGUGCUUCCUGCGGUGGCAUCUCGGGCCACCACCACCCCUCCUCCGGCCAUCGCAGCGGGGUCUCGGGGUCAGAAGUGCGCGGGGCUGCUGUCCGGGCGGGGAAUCGCUGGCGCGGGACUAGCUGGGGCCUGUUGUCUCCUUGGCUCUCUGUUGCAGUGAGCGGCCGCGUCUCCGUCGGAACCGGCGGCGUCGCGUCUGUAAAGGCGAAAGCCUUGAGGUUGAAGGUGGGACGAGCCCAGUGAAGUGGUUAGUCAACGACCGCAGCGACCCUUAAGAGUCCUUAAGACGAGAGCGAGCGGGGAAGGGAAAACUACGCAAGAGCCUUUCCCCUUAAUGUCCUCUUUCCUUUCGCUUCUAAAUGAAUGUGGAAAUGCAGUGACGCCUGUUUUCCUAACAGCUAGAUGUUGGGUUCUUUAUGUCUCAACUUCCAAAGCUUUCCUUCCUGUGACCAUUCCUCUGAAAACUCCUUUACAGAUCUUUAUGGCUAAACUGCCAAGACAUCUUACUUUAAACCUUACGUAACUGAACAAAUUUCUUGCCUCAGUUUUCAAAAAAGAAAAGAAAAAAGCUAAUCAUUGUUAACUCAAAAGAUUAUACCUGAAAUUUACAGACCCUCCCCCGUUUUUCUCACCCAUUCCCCGGAAAAGGGACUCAAGACUUUGGUUAUCUGAGGUCUUGUGAGUAUAAACCGUAUAUUCACAAAGCUUGAGUAUAUUAUUAGAACGUUACCGGUUUUUGAGUUUUAUUCCGAAGUUACCCUAGUAUUGGAAAUUAAUGGAAGUGAGUCCUGGUAAAACCAUGGAAGGAAAAAAAAGGGAAACAAAAGUCCCAUGGUACUCGAGGGCUGGCAGUUGUGUUGGUAUUCUAGUGGAGGAGGGGCGGGUGGAAAAAAGCCGCUGGAGGGCUUUGCUGAAGGAAAGAAUUUGUCCCUUUUGGAAGCUCGGGAUUUAGACACCUGUACUCUGUCAGUCAAGUCAUAUACGGUCAGUUAGGGUUUUGAUCUUGAGAAAAGAGGGUGCAUUUUGUUUGUUUAUUUUUUUAUUUAAUGCACUAGGACAAGGUCAUAACUACAUUUAACUUUGAUUGGAUUAUUUGAAUGAAAUUUGCACACAACGAUUGAGUUGAACCUGCUUACUAUUUUUAGGAUUGUUUUAUUGUACUAACAACUUUUAAAGACUAUGAAGUAAAUAUUUCACGUAGUUGUAUUACUUGUGAAACUAAGUAAUUAGGAAAAGACGGUUGGGGUUUGGGUGUGUUGUUUUGUUGUUAUUGUUCCUGGUUUAGUCUGUGGGACUUGUACCAGUGUUGCUCUGAUGGCUCUGAUUGCUGCUCUGGUUCUCCCAUUUGUCCUCUAGUGGAAGGAGUAGUGGAUAAUUACCACCUUCCCACAAAUUAUUGAAGAUUCCUAUCCACUUUUCAGUUUAUUUAGGUAUUAACAACCUAGUUAACAGAUAGGGACUUUCUAGCUCCCUCUCUUCUGCCAUUAGUAGUACAGCAGUACCUGUGGUUCAGUUUACAUCAGCGCUUUCAGGGUCAGUUACAGCUCUUUAAGAUGUAACAGUUUUUGUUUUGUAUUCUUAAAUUAUGAUUGAACAGACUUGUAAUUACAUAAAGAAUUAGAAGGCUAGAGGCUUGUGGGGGGGUUCAUAUUGAUUUUUGUUGUUUUUGAGCUUUGUGGGAGUGGAACCCAGGCCUUUUGCAUACCAGGCAAGUGCUGUACCACUCCUCUUCUUAAAGCAGCUAAGUAUUUAAAUACAGUGCUUUGUUUUUUUUGUUUUGGUGGGAGGUUGUAUGCUUUUUCCCCCCUGUUGACCAUAAUUGCUAUGCCCCUUUAUCAUUGCCUGUAGAGGUGUCUGAGGGCAGCUUCCUAAGAGAGAUGUUUGAAUGAUGUGUUGAAGUUAUUUACAUGGUAGUUAGACUUCAAACUCUUCUCAUUACCCUAAACUAGGGGAGGCAUUGACAGGUCAGUAGUCAAAUGCUGGGCCUAUUGGGUAUUUUUAAAAGAUUAUUAAUAUAGGGUUUUUAUUAUUAUUUCCCUUCUGUUGGAAUUUAUUGGGAAGAUUGCAUCUGAUACAUAAAGUGAAUGAUUGGACUUUAUCUUUAGGUGUAACAGGGAGCAUGUUAAUCCUUUCUCAGUAAAAGUGUUCAAGAUUAGGUGGAGGGUUCCUAGAAUGGACCAAACACUGAAGAUAAAAUAUAUAAAUAUAUCUAUGCUUACAAUAUUUUAGAAUUCAGCCUUCUUGGGUGCAUUUUUAUUUAUUGCUUGUAAUAAUAUAGCAAGGGCUAGGGUGCUGUCAACAUUUUAGAAAUGAAGAACUACCCAGGAGGUGCUGCUGGUCCACACCUAUGCACUUGGGGGUCAGAGGCAGUUGGAGUUUGAGGCUAGCCUGGUCUGCUGAGCAAGUUCCAGGACAGCCAGGGCUACAC
rnacentral:lncRNA from 1 species